GACGAACGCUGGCGGCGUGCUUAACACAUGCAAGUCGAGCGGUAAGGCCCUUUCGGGGGUACACGAGCGGCGAACGGGUGAGUAACACGUGGGUGACCUGCCCUCAGCUCUGGGAUAAGCCUGGGAAACUGGGUCUAAUACUGGAUAUGACUCCACGGUGCAUGUCGUGGGGUGGAAAGCCUUGUGCGGCUGAGGAUGGGCCCGCGGCCUAUCAGCUUGUUGGUGGGGUGANGGCCUACCAAGGCGACGACGGGUAGCCGGCCUGAGAGGGCGACCGGCCACACUGGGACUGAGACACGGCCCAGACUCCUACGGGAGGCAG
rnacentral:rRNA from 1 species